rnacentral:rRNA from 1 species
UACCGAGUUUACAACUCCCAAACCCAAUGUGAACGUUACCAAACUGUUGCCUCGGCGGGGUCACGCCCCGGGUGCGUAAAAGCCCCGGACCCAGGCGCCCGCCGGAGGGACCAACCAAACUCUUUUCUGUAGCCUUCGGGCGUUAUUUCUUACAGCUCUGAGCAAAAAUUCAAAAUGAAUCAAAACUUUCAACAACGGAUCUCUUGGUUCUGGCAUCGAUGAAGAACGCAGCGAAAUGCGAUAAGUAAUGUGAAUUGCAGAAUUCAGUGAAUCAUCGAAUCUUUGAACGCACAUUGCGCCCGCCAGUAUUCUGGCGGGCAUGCCUGUCCGAGCGUCAUUUCAACCCUCGAACCCCCUCGGGGGUCCGGGGUUGGGGAUCGGGAACCCCUAAGACGGGAUCCCGGCCCCGAAAUACAGUGGCGGUCUCGCCGCAGCCUCUCCUGCGCAGUAGUUUGCACAACUCGCACCGGGAGCGCGGCGCGUCCACGUCCGUAAAACACCCAACUUCUGAAAUGUUGACCUCGGAUCAGGUAGGAAUACCCGC